UAACAGGUUGAGAUUCCUGUACUGGUUUGAUUUGUUUGAACGAUGGAGGGACGCAGGAGGCUAGAGAUGCGUGCUGUUGGAUAUGCACGUCCAAGCAACAAGUCUGAUGAUGAGUCAAAUGCUUAUCAUCUUAAGGAUAAGUUGUGAUGGGGAGCGAAAUUAAAGUAGCGAAGUGAUCGAUGUCACACUGCCGAGAAAAGCUUCUAGUUAG
rnacentral:rRNA from 1 species